rnacentral:lncRNA from 1 species
CACAACUUACAUUUUACACUGCUUGUAUGCCAACCAAAGUAAGGUAUUCAGUUCCAUUGAGAUGUUGGUCACGAAAUGAAAUAAUUUUUUUUAAGGUAUUCAUUUUACACAACUUACAUUUUUUAAUUUUUUUUUUUUUUGGUAGAUAGACGAAAUGGCAAAGCCAUUAUAAACUCACACACACAAGUGAAGGUACCGGGGUUCGAACCCCGAUCAUGGCAUCCGGCCUAACAAUUUCGGAAACCAAAAUAGAGGUGAUCUAAAUCUAAGCAAGGCGUUUGAAGUUUUGGCUAAGACUUAUGAAAAUGUCAUUCAAAAUAAAAAUUGGUCAAGAAUAUCAUUCAAUUUAACCCCUUAUAUAAAC